CGGGCCGUGGCUCAGCUUGGUAGAGCACUACCUUGGGGUGGUAGGGGUCGCGAGUUCAAAUCUCGCCGGUCCGA
rnacentral:tRNA from 1 species